AUUGUCCGCCAGAGAACUACGAGCGUAAAACUUAAAACUCCAAGGACUUGGCGGUGCCCCACACCAACCUAGAGGAGCCUGUCCUAUAAUCGAUACUCCACGUUCAACCUUACCCCCCCUAGUAAACCCAGCCUAUAUACCGCCGUCGACAGCCCACCUUAUGAAAGAAACCAAGUGAGCACAAUAAUUAACAACUAAUACGUCAGGUCAAGGUGUAGCACACGGGUGGGCAGAGAUGGGCUACAUUCCCUCUAACAGGAAACACGCACAGUGUGUUGAAACACACACUUAAAGGCGGAUUUAGCAGUAAGACAGAUAAGAAUACCUGUCUCAAACUUGCUCUGGGGCGCGCACACACCGCCCGU
rnacentral:rRNA from 1 species